rnacentral:rRNA from 1 species
GAUGAACGCUGGCGGCGUGCCUAAUACAUGCAAGUCGAGCGAACGGACGAGAAGCUUGCUUCUCUGAUGUUAGCGGCGGACGGGUGAGUAACACGUGGAUAACCUACCUAUAAGACUGGGAUAACUUCGGGAAACCGGAGCUAAUACCGGAUAAUAUUUUGAACCGCAUGGUUCAAAAGUAAAAGACGGUCUUGCUGUCACUUAUAGAUGGAUCCGCGCUGCAUUAGCUAGUUGGUAAGGUAACGGCUUACCAAGGCAACGAUGCAUAGCCGACCUGAGAGGGUGAUCGGCCACACUGGAACUGAGACACGGUCCAGACUCCUACGGGAGGCAGCAGUAGGGAAUCUUCCGCAAUGGGCGAAAGCCUGACGGAGCAACGCCGCGUGAGUGAUGAAGGUCUUCGGAUCGUAAAACUCUGUUAUUAGGGAAGAACAUAUGUGUGAGUAACUGUGCACAUCUUGACGGUACCUAAUCAGAAAGCCACGGCUAACUACGUG